rnacentral:rRNA from 1 species
AUUGAACGCUGGCGGCAGGCUUAACACAUGCAAGUCGAGCGGAGAUGAGGUGCUUGCACCUUAUCUUAGCGGCGGACGGGUGAGUAAUGCUUAGGAAUCUGCCUAUUAGUGGGGGACAACAUUCCGAAAGGAAUGCUAAUACCGCAUACGCCCUACGGGGGAAAGCAGGGGAUCUUCGGACCUUGCGCUAAUAGAUGAGCCUAAGUCGGAUUAGCUAGUGGGUGGGGUAAAGGCCUACCAAGGCGACGAUCUGUAGCGGGUCUGAGAGGAUGAUCCGCCACACUGGUACUGGGGCGCGGGCCGGACUCCUACGGGAGGCAGCAGUGGGGAAUAUUGGACAAUGGGGGGAAGCCUGAUCCAGCCGUGCCGCGUGUGUGAAGAAGGCCUUUUGGUUGUAAAGCACUUUAAGCGAGGAGGAGGCUACCUGGAUUAAUACUCUAGGAUAGUGGACGUUACUCGCAGAAUAAGCACCGGCUAACUCUGUGCCAGCCGCCGCGGUAACAC